rnacentral:rRNA from 1 species
CAGUAGCCGCGGUAAUACGGAGGGUGCGAGCGUUAAUCGGAAUAACUGGGCGUAAAGGGCACGCAGGCGGACUUUUAAGUGAGGUGUGAAAGCCCCGGGCUUAACCUGGGAAUUGCAUUUCAGACUGGGAGUCUAGAGUACUUUAGGGAGGGGUAGAAUUCCACGUGUAGCGGUGAAAUGCGUAGAGAUGUGGAGGAAUACCGAAGGCGAAGGCAGCCCCUUGGGAAUGUACUGACGCUCAUGUGCGAAAGCGUGGGGAGCAAACAGGAUUAGAUACCCCUGUAGUCCCUGUCUCUUAUAA